AUUGAACGCUGGCGGCAGGCCUAACACAUGCAAGUCGAGCGGGGUUUUCGGACCUAGCGGCGGACGGGUGAGUAAUGCGUAGGAAGCUGCCCGAUAGAGGGGGAUACCAGUUGGAAACGACUGUUAAUACCGCAUAAUGUCUACGGACCAAAGUGUGGGACCUUCGGGCCACAUGCUAUCGGAUGCGCCUACGUGGGAUUAGCUAGUUGGUGAGGUAAUGGCUCACCAAGGCGACGAUCUCUAGCUGGUUUGAGAGGAUGAUCAGCCACACUGGAACUGAGACACGGUCCAGACUCCUACGGGAGGCAGCUGUGGGGAAUAUUGGACAAUGGGCGCAAGCCUGAUCCAGCCAUGCCGCGUGUGUGAAGAAGGCCUUCGGGUUGUAAAGCACUUUUAGCGAGGAGGAAGGGUGGUGUGUUAAUAGCACAUCAUUUUGACGUUACUCGCAGAAGAAGCACCGGCUAACUCUGUGCCAGCAGCCGCGGUAAAAC
rnacentral:rRNA from 1 species